GAUGAAGAACGUAGCGAAAUGCGAUAAGUAAUGUGAAUUGCAGAAUUCAGUGAAUCAUCGAAUCUUUGAACGCACAUUGCGCCCCUUGGUAUUCCGGGGGGCAUGCCUGUUCGAGCGUCAUUACAACCCUCAAGCUCUGCUUGGUCUUGGGCGUCACCGGUCCCCGGUGUGCCUUAAAAUCAGUGGCGGCGCCAUCUGGCUCUAAGCGUAGUACAUACUCUCGCUACAGACGUCCGGUGGAUGCUGGCCAGCAACCCCCAAUUUAUCAAGGUUGACCUCGGAUCAGGUAGGGAUACCCGCUGAACUUAAGCAUAUCAUAAGCGGAGGA
rnacentral:misc_RNA from 1 species